rnacentral:rRNA from 1 species
UACAGAGUGGGCAAGCGUUAUUCGGAAUUAUUGGGCGUAAAGGGCGCGUAGGCGGCCUGGCAAGUGGAAGAUGAAAUCCCUCGGCUUAACCGAGGAACUGCCCUCCAAACUGCUUGGCUUGAGUCCGGGAGAGGUGAGUGGAAUUCCCAGUGUAGCGGUGAAAUGCGUAGAUAUUGGGAGGAACACCAGUGGCGAAGGCGGCUCACUGGACCGGAACUGACGCUGAGGUGCGAAAGCGUGGGGAGCAAACGGG